UGUUUCCAUUUGUGAACAACAUAUAUGUGUGUAUGAAUAAAAUUUAUAAAUGGACAUAACCUUAUACACAAGAUUUAAAAUAACCCCUGGGCACAUGUGGGCCCAACCCAGAGAUAGCCCUUCCUGAAAUGACUGGAGCCAAGAGCCUGUCACGCUCGCGGUAUUCAGUGCAAGGUCUGAUCGCGUCUUCUGUCACUCAAGGCCUGAGGGCGCGGAGCCUGGAGCUCUAUCCAUUAAGGGCGCUGGGGUGGGAACUGUCCAAUCAGGUUCACAGUCAGAGAGGAAGGGGUGGCUCCCGGUACCUGGCGGGGCCUUUGUCUCUUGCUCCAGCCAGAGCUCGAGGUUAGCUCUUCACUGCCCUGUGUCUUCUUUCCAAGGGUCUCGGUGAUUCGGCCACAGCCUCAGCCUCCAUCACGCGGUGAACUGAUGGUGCUGGAAGAUUCAUAGACUCCAGGACAUUCCUGAAGCCGAGAAAAGGUUAAGUAGGGUCUGGCCUGGAAUACUCUCCUAGAUGAAGAUAGCCCAACCAUGAGCCACCUUCGAAGCAGAUGAGAUGAAAUUAAAGCUCUUCAACUCCUAAAGGCCCAGAGACUAUCACAAAAGAGGUCAGAAAUCCUGAAGGUCACUUUCUGACAAACUCAGGAACCCCAGGUUUAUCUUGGAGCCUCAAGAGGAGAUAAAUUCACCCAACUCAGUAAAAUACGGAUGCCAAGCCGAGGCUG
rnacentral:lncRNA from 1 species